CAACACCGCCACUGCUCUUAAACCAAGACCUAUAGGCAGUAUAAUACUUCGUCUUUCAUACCUGUAAGUGAGGGAUUUACAGGAAUAAGUUUCGCAU
rnacentral:ncRNA from 1 species